CCUUGCAACAGGACAUUAUCUUCCUAUCUGUGAAUUGCAAGAUUUAAUGCCGAGUACGAGUGCUGAGUGUUUAUGCUCAACCUCUUGCCUGAAGUUGUUGAAUUAAAAACCCCACUGCCUUCUGGGAUGCCAACAUUUGUAAUUCAACAACAUCUGGAAGGCCACAAGGUCAAGAAAACAGGUCUAUAUAGAUUUCUUUUGACUGCCAUGUACAACUGCAGAACUGCUGUGAAAAAUAUUAAACAUUUUAAAGAGAGACAAGAUAUUAGAUGAUUGGAGGAAGCAUAAUGAUAGCAGUGGUGUUACUACUCACCGGCGGAUGCUGGUACAGGAUCGGCACCCGGGCGCCUCUAUCGAGCCCUCC